UACGCAGGGGGCUAGCGUUGUUCGGAUUUACUGGGCGUAAAGCGCGUGUAGGCGGGUCGUUAAGUUGGGGGUGAAAUCCCGAGGCUCAACCUCGGAACUGCCUCCAAAACUGGCGACCUGGACUCAAGCAGAGGCAAGUGGAAUUGCGAGUGUAGAGGUGAAAUUCGUAGAUAUUCGCAGGAACACCAGUGGCGAAGGCGGCUUGCUGGGCUUGUAGUGGCGCUGAGACGCGAAAGCGUGGGGAGCAAACAGG
rnacentral:rRNA from 1 species